AACUCGAGUGCAUGAAGCUGGAAUCGCUAGUAAUCGCGGAUCAGAAUGCCGCGGUGAAUACGUUCCCGGGUCUUGUACACACCGCCCGUCACACCAUGGGAGUCGGGAAUGCCCGAAGCCGGUGGCCCGAUCGAGAGAAGGGAGCCGUCGAAGGCAGGCCGGAUGACUGGGGUGAAGUCGUAACAAGGUAAC
rnacentral:rRNA from 1 species